rnacentral:rRNA from 1 species
GAUACCUGGCGGCGGCUUACACAUGCAAGUCGAGCGGAAACGAAGGGAGCUUGCUCCCAGGCGUCGAGCGGCGGACGGGUGAGUAACGCGUAGGAAUCUGCCUGAUAGAGGGGGAUAGCCCGGGGAAACCCGGAUUAAUACCGCAUACGCCCUAAGGGGGAAAGCAGGGGACCUUCGGACCUUGCGCUAUCAGACGGGCCCGCGUCUGAUUAGCUAGUUGGUGGGGUAACGGCCCACCAAGGCGAUGAUCAGUAGCCGACCUGAGAGGGUGACCGGCCACACUGGAACUGAGACACGGUCCAGACUCCUACGGGAGGCAGCAGCGGGGAAUAUUGGACAAUGGGGGCAACCCUGAUCCAGCCAUGCCGCGUGUGUGAAGAAGGCCUUCGGGUUGUAAAGCACUUUAAGCAGGGAGGAAAGGGUGAAGGCUAAUAUCCUUCAUCAUUGACGUUACCUGCAGAAUAAGCACCGGCUAACUUCGUGCCAGCAGCCGCGGUAAUACGAAGGGUGCAAGCGUUAAUCGGAAUUACUGGGCGUAAAGCGCGCGUAGGCGGUCUGAUCAGUUGGAUGUGAAAGCCCAGGGCUCAACCUUGGAACUGCAUCCAAUGCUGUCAGGCUAGAGUACGGGAGAGGGGGGUAGAAUUCCACGUGUAGCGGUGAAAUGCGUAGAGAUGUGGAGGAAUACCGGUGGCGAANGCGGCCCCCUGGGAUCGAUACUGACGCUGANGUGCGAAAGCGUGGGGAGCAAACAGGAUUAGAUACCCUGGUAGUCCAUGCCGUAAACGAUGUCNACUAGCCGUUGGGAGCGUAAUGCUCCGAGUGG